UUUCGCCCGCCGGCGACCGGCGCACGGGUGAGUAACACGUAUGCAACCUGCCCGUGGCAGGGGGAUAAGCGGGGGAAACCCCGUCUAAUACCGCGUAACGCGGCCUUGGGGCAUCCCAAGGCCGCCAAAGGGAGCAAUCCCGGCCACGGAUGGGCAUGCGGCGCAUUAGCUAGUCGGCGGGGUAACGGCCCACCGAGGCGACGAUGCGUAGGGGUUCUGAGAGGAAGGCCCCCCACACUGGUACUGAGACACGGACCAGACUCCUACGGGAGGCAGCAG
rnacentral:rRNA from 1 species